AUAACACUCCCUUGAAGUACUGGAGUAUAAUCAAACAACUUGGCUCCUGCUGAAACCCGCUCCCACCUGUUUCGGUCCUGAAGGGGACAUUUGGAUACAGACACAGGCAUGAACAGAGGAGAGACCAUGUGAAGAGUCACAGGGAGAAUGCCAUGUGAAGACAGAGGAAUGGAAUUAUCCAUCCACAUGCAAUAAAAUGCCAAAGAUUGCCAGGAAGUCACCAGAAGCUUGGAACAGUCUGAGACUGGUUCUCACUUUGCUGAGCUGUCUGGAGUGCAGUGGUGUUGAUCACAGCUCACUGCCACCUCAAAUUCCUGGGCUUAAGGGAUUCUCCUACCUCAGCAUUUUUCAAGAAUACAGUAUAUCCUCAUUAACUAUACUCACUAUGCUGUACAACAGAUCUUUGAAAGUUAUUCUUCCCAUUUACAAUAAUACUAUGUAUUUUGAUUAAUAUCUUACCAACCUACCCUUACCCAUCUGCCCCAGCCUCUGGUAAUUGCCAUUCUACUCCAUUUCUGAGAUAACUUUAUUAGAUUCUACAGAUGAAUGAGAUUAUGUGGUGUUUGUCUGUUUCUGACUUAUUUUAGUUAGCAGAAUGUCCUCCAGGUUCAUCCAUUUGUCAAAAAUGAAAAGAUUUCCUUCUUUUC